AGUGAACGCUGGCGGUAGGCCUAACACAUGCAAGUCGAACGGCAGCACAGUAAGAGCUUGCGCUUACGGGUGGCGAGUGGCGGACGGGUGAGGAAUAUAUCGGAAUCUACUUUUUCGUGGGGGUUAACGUAGGGAAACUUACGCUAAUAUCGCAUACGAUCUACGGGUGAAAGCAGGGGAUCUUCGGACCUUGCGCGAUUGAAUGAGCCGAUGUCGGAUUAGCUAGUUGGCGGGGUAAAGGCCCACCAAGGCGACGAUCCGUAGCUGGUCGGAGAGGAUGAUCAGCGGCACUGGAACGGAGACACGGUCCAGACUCCUACGGGAGGCAGCAGUGGGGAAUAUUGGACAAUGGGCGCAAGCAUGAUCCAGCCAUACCGCGUGGGUGAAGAAGGCCUUCGGGUUGUAAAGCCCUUUUGUUGGGAAAGAAAAGCAGCAGGUUAAUACCCCGCUGUUCUGACGGUACCGAAAGAAUAAGCACCGGCUAACUACGUG
rnacentral:rRNA from 1 species